AUUGAACGCUGGCGGCAGGCCUAACACAUGCAAGUCGAACGAGUGGCGGACGGGUGAGGAAUGUCUGGGAAACUGCCUGAUGGAGGGGGAUAACUAAUGGAAACGGUAGCUAAUACCGCAUACCAUCGGAUGUGCCCAGAUGGGAGUAGCGAGUAGGUGGGGUAAAGGCUCACCUAGCCGACGAUCCCUAGCUGGUCUGAGAGGAUGACCAGCCACACUGGAACUGAGACACGGUCCUGACUCCAACGGGAGGCAGCAGUGGUGAAUAUUGCACAAGGGGCACAAGCCUGAUGCAGCCAGGCCGCGUGUAUGAAGAAGGCCUUCGGGUUGUAAAGUACUUUCAGCGGGGAGGCGUUACCAGCAGAAGAAGCACCGGCUAACUCCGUGCCAGCCGCCGCGGUAAUAC
rnacentral:rRNA from 1 species